UACUACUGGUUCCCAGACCUUGAGUAGCAGGAUCCUAUCCCACAAGAACUCAAAAGGAACCAGCUGUAAUUUUCAACCACUAGGCUCUUCCAACGUUCAUAACGAGGUCUUCUGAAAAACACCAAUGUCCAGCAAACCCAACAGGUGAGUCAUCAUGACGUUGCAGAACUGGGUCCAAAGGCUGCCUGAUUCAAGCAGGAUGCUAACACUACUGAACCAGACCUGUGGUCUCAUCAAGAAGAAGGCUGAUUUUGAACUACCCUUUUGGUAGCUGUUGUAUGUUGGGCUCAUCUUUCAGGGCUUUCACCACAUCUUUCCCAGGCUUAAUAUUUGAGAAGUGAAGACAGAAACAGUAAAAUUAAGAUGAAAGA